rnacentral:rRNA from 1 species
AACGAACGCUGGCGGCAGGCCUAACACAUGCAAGUCGAGCGAGGACUUCGGUCCUAGCGGCGGACGGGUGAGUAACGCGUGGGAACGUGCCCUUUGCUUCGGAAUAGCCCUGGGAAACUGGGAGUAAUACCGGAUGAGCCCUUUGGGGGAAAGAUUUAUCGGCGAAGGAUCGGCCCGCGUUGGAUUAGGUAGUUGGUGGGGUAAUGGCCUACCAAGCCGACGAUCCAUAGCUGGUUUGAGAGGAUGAUCAGCCACACUGGGACUGAGACACGGCCCAGACUCCUACGGGAGGCAGCAGUGGGGAAUAUUAGACAAGGGGGGAAACCCUGAUCUAGCCACGCCGCGUGAGCGAUGAAGGCCUUAGGGUUGUAAAGCUCUUUCAGCUGGGAAGAUAAUGACGGUACCAGCAGAAGAAGCCCCGGCUAACUCCGUG